UAGACCUGGACUGGCUUUGUUCUUUUGCCAGGUGCAUGCUCUGCUUUACAGAAAUCCCUCUUUUACAGUUAGGGAAAAGUGUGUGCUCUCUGUGCUCUGAAAUCCUAGUGUAAGUAGAGACCAGCUAUUUUUCUAUUGUUGUAACAAGCCAGCACAGUGCCUCCAUUUCCUGAUGAAAGUUGAUUGAGCUACAAUUUCCAGCUAGGAUUUCAAGGGAAGAUUAAGUAUGAAUUCUCUUAUCUGCGACUACAUAAGUCUAGGGUAACUCCAUUGAAGUUGGUGGACAUGAUGAGACAGAAGUAUUAAUGACAUAAUGCUGAUGGUAUGAGUGUUCUUCAUUCCUGAGCUGAUCCUGUUUGUUUAAAAACUGCAUUCAACUACAGCAUUACAAGUCUCCAAUAAUGGAUAGAGAAAUUUUCUCUGCCCAUCCAAAGCUGCAUUUGCAAAGGCAACUCUGUUUUUUUCCUGGCAAAUCUGAUCUGCAUUACCACAGCAGCUUUCUCAGUUACGCCAAUGGGAUUGCUCUGAAUUUUAAGAGAUCCAAAUUUGGGUGUGGAUGAGUAAGCAGAUGCAGUAUGCAGAUACUGUGCUUGUGACUUCAACAGCAGGUUGCAGAAAAAGAAGAAUAUCUGAUCAACUGCCCUGUCCCAAACUUGCCACGGGAAAUGUUGCUUCUGGUAUGAUGGGGCUUGACAGAUGUCUAUCUGAUCUUUGUGCAUUACUACUCAAAUAUCCUUGAAAUUUUCAAAAUACUUUUCAAAAGCUUUAAGAAACAACACAAAAUGUUUGAUAAAGUGACAUUAUUUUAUAAUAUACAGAAUAACUGAGAUAGUGACAUGAAACAAGAGCCUACAGUAUGUUUAAUUUUUUCUUGAAAAUUUGAUUUUUCAGAUUGUAAAAAUUCAACCUGUUUCCCAGGAAGAAACAGAACAAAAUAUUUCUUGUAUUGGCUACACAGAACUUAAAAAGCAAAGCACAGUAGCGAGGGUCCAUAUCCAACUUUACAUUAUACAUUCUUCAUUUUUCAGGACCUGGCUCUGUAGUUUCUUUGUAUCUAGACAAUCGCAGUAAAUCAGCUGCUGGUUUUGUGCACCUCCCUCCAUCCCCUAAUUAUGUGGCUGCUGCUCAGACCCUUCACAUAAUCAAAAAUUUUCUAAGCCUAGCUGGAGUCUUGUCUUCACACGUGGGGUGGUUCUGUCUUGUAUAGUAACGCAUGGAAGCAUCUAGAUUAGCCAUUUUACCUCUGAGGAGCUCAAGCUCCCUUUACAAUGUCAGCACUCAUCUUCAUUUUGCAUCCUAGAAGUCUCAAAACACAGCAAGCCUAAGAAAAUAUCUUAGUAUUGUCCCAUGAGAAUGGUAAAAACCAAAAAAGUAUUUUCUUUCUACAUCAAACCGUUUACUUUUUGAAUUCAAAAUACAAACUCUUUUUAAUGACGGUGAAGGAGAUGUUAUAACUCAAAGCUUAACUUUCUGUAACUUGGAAGUUGAUGCUAUUUGUCUUUGGGCCCACCGGGAGCUAAGGAGAUAUCUAGUGAUGUGUUUACUCAUACCUCACUCCUCAUGUGAUUUUUCUAGCUAAAUUCACAAAAGAAAAUUUUCAUUCAGGAUAUAUUUAUUUAAAUACCAAGUAAGAAAAAUAUACCUUUACUACUCUUUCUGUCAUGUUGACCAAUGGGCUUAAAGUGGUUGGGGUAGGAGGGGCGAACCAUAAUUUUCUUCUUUAAAUCACUGUGAAACUUCUGUAGAGUAAAGCUGAAGAGUAAUUUUAAUCUGAAUAGCAAGGCGUAUAUUGAAAAUGAUAGUGCUUGUGGGUUUGAUAUACAUGGAUAAUUUUUCUUCUAAUAUAUAUUUAGAGGCAUAUGAUUUCUCCUACCCUCUUAGAGAUCAGUGUGAACAAAUUAUGGGUAGAAUAAGAAUUUUAAUGAAUUCAUGUUUAGCUUUGCUAAAAGCCCUACGUAUUUUUCCAUUAUUCAUCUUUCCCUCUCAAUCCUUUUCUAUUUGGACCAAAUCUUUUGUAAAGAAACUUCCUAGCAUGCUCCAUACAUCCUGCUUAAUUGUUUGAUUUAUUAGGUAGGAUAGAUCUUUAAGUUGAAAGCAUCCCAAACAGUGGUUACUUGGUGAGAUCACUAAAGAUUUGGGGAUUGACAUCACACAUUUGAUGAAAAAGUGUUCAGGCAGGGUUUUAAAAGCAAACAGUGUCAACUCAGAGCCAGCACUCUUUGCACAGUUUGAACUUAGAUAUGUAAUAACAGCAAAAAAAACAGAAGUAUGAAAGAUUACUGGCUUUCUAAGCUGAAUGAGGUAAAGUAGCAUUGAUGCAGUGAGAGUUGUCUGAAAGAAUGGUUACAGCAAAUCUGAACUUUUGGUGAUCCCUCUGUGGAGAAGAUAUUUGAUGCCUUUAUUUAAAAUCAUAAAUUCUAGAGAAUCUACAUAGAUAUGGCUAAACACAUCUAAACUGACUGAACAUAUGAUAACAUGGCAAUGUAUAAGCUUUAUUUCCCAAUGUUGACAUAUAAAUAUUUUUUUUCCAGAUCACUUUCAAACAGUUGCAUAGUCUAUUUAAAUGUGUAUAAUAGACUUGAAAUAAUCACGUUCAUUCAAAUAUUGAGGUUGUGAUUUAGCAGAAAGAAAAAUGCUAUUCCUGGACUUCAGUAGAAAAAAGUUACAGAAAGAGGACGGCUUGUGGUGGUCAAUAAAUUGUAAGUGCACAUUCCAUUAAAAAGUGUUUAUAUAAUUGUUGUUUUGUAAUAAAAUUAAUAAGAACCCUGUGGUG